AUGUUUUCAGUGACCUUUCUGCUGCUCGGCAUGCUCUUCUCACUGAGAGGAAACAGAGCCCAGACAGUGGUCCAGCCUGAUGCUCACCUCACUGUCUCUGAAGGAGCCUCACUAGAGCUCAAAUGCAGCUAUUCUUAUGGUGCAACACCCUACCUCUUUUGGUACAUCCAGUAUCCUGGCCAGAGCCUCGAACUUCUCCUCAAACACUUCGGAGGAGACACUCUUGUUAAAGGCAUCAAGGCUUUUGAGGCUGAGUUUAUGAAGAGUAACUCCUCCUUCAACCUGAGGAAAAAGUCAGCCCAUUGGAGCGACUCAGCCAAGUACUUCUGCGCUCUGAGUGACACAGUGCCUGAGGCUGCAGGGGGAGCUGAGCACAAACCUCCUGAGACUUUCUGUCUUAAGGGCACACCAUAA